rnacentral:rRNA from 1 species
UGAGUAACACGUAAGUAACCUGCCUAUCAGAGGGGAACAACAGUUAGAAAUGACUGCUAAUACCGCAUAUGCCAUAUCUACCGCAUGGUAGAAGUGGGAAAGGAGAAAUCCGCUGAUAGAUGGACUUGCGGACUGAUUAGAUAGUUGGUGGGGUAAAGGCCUACCAAGUCGACGAUCAGUAGCCGAACUGAGAGGUUAAACGGCCACAUUGGGACUGAGAUACGGCCCAGACUCCUACGGGAGGCAGCAG